UAGCCGGCCUGAGAGGGCGACCGGCCACACUGGGACUGAGACACGGCCCAGACUCCUACGGGAGGCAGCAGUGGGGAAUAUUGCACAAUGGGCGAAAGCCUGAUGCAGCGACGCCGCGUGAGGGAUGACGGCCUUCGGGUUGUAAACCUCUUUCAGCAGGGAAGAAGCGAAAGUGACGGUACCUGCAGAAGAAGCGCCGGCUAACUACGUGCCAGCAGCCGCGGUAAUACGUAGGGCGCAAGCGUUGUCCGGAAUUAUUGGGCGUAAAGAGCUCGUAGGCGGCUUGUCACGUCGGUUGUGAAAGCCCGGGGCUUAACCCCGGGUCUGCAGUCGAUACGGGCAGGCUAGAGUUCGGUAGGGGAGAUCGGAAUUCCUGGUGUAGCGGUGAAAUGCGCAGAUAUCAGGAGGAACACCGGUGGCGAAGGCGGAUCUCUGGGCCGAUACUGACGCUGAGGAGCGAAAGCGUGGGGAGCGAACAGGAUUAGAUACCCUGGUAGUCCACGCCGUAAACGGUGGGCACUAGGUGUGGGCAACAUUCCACGUUGUCCGUGCCGCAGCUAACGCAUUAAGUGCCCCGCCUGGGGGAGUACGGGG
rnacentral:rRNA from 1 species